UACGUAGGGUGCAAGCGUUGUUCGGAAUUACUGGGCGUAAAGCGCGCGUAGGCGGGUCUGUAUGUCGAUUGUGAAAGCCCUGGGCUUAACCUAGGAAUUGCAGUCGAAACUGCAGAUCUUGAAUGUCUGAGAGGAUGGCGGAAUUCCCGGUGUAGUAGUGAAAUACGUAGAUAUCGGGAAGAACACCUGAGGCGAAGGCGGCUAUCUGGCGGUACAUUGACGCUGAGGCGCGAAAGCGUGGGGAGCAAACAGG
rnacentral:rRNA from 1 species